GCAGAUGUGGCGGAAUGGCAGACGCGUACGCUUGAGGGGCGUAUGAACAACGUUCGUGAGGGUUCGAGUCCCUCCAUCUGCACCA
rnacentral:tRNA from 1 species